AGAGUUUGAUCAUGGCUCAGAUUGAACGCUGGCGGCAGGCCUAACACAUGCAAGUCGAACGGUAGCAUAGAGAGCUUGCUCUCGGGUGACGAGUGGCGGACGGGUGAGUAAUGUCUGGGAAACUGCCUGAUGGAGGGGGAUAACUACUGGAAACGGUAGCUAAUACCGCAUAACGUCUUCGGACCAAAGUGGGGGACCUUCGGGCCUCACACCAUCGGAUGUGCCCAGAUGGGAUUAGCUAGUAGGUGGGGUAAUGGCUCACCUAGGCGACGAUCCCUAGCUGGUCUGAGAGGAUGACCAGCCACACUGGAACUGAGACACGGUCCAGACUCCUACGGGAGGCAGCAGUGGGGAAUAUUGCACAAUGGGCGCAAGCCUGAUGCAGCCAUGCCGCGUGUAUGAAGAAGGCCUUCGGGUUGUAAAGUACUUUCAGCGGGGAGGAAGGCGAUAAGGUUAAUAACCUUGUCGAUUGACGUUACCCGCAGAAGAAGCACCGGCUAACUCCGUGCCAGCAGCCGCGGUAAUACGGAGGGUGCAAGCGUUAAUCGGAAUUACUGGGCGUAAAGCGCACGCAGGCGGUCUGUCAAGUCAGAUGUGAAAUCCCCGGG
rnacentral:rRNA from 1 species